rnacentral:rRNA from 1 species
AGUGAACGCUGGCGGUAGGCCUAACACAUGCAAGUCGAACGGCAGCACAGUAAGCGCUUGCUCUUACGGGUGGCGAGUGGCGGACGGGUGAGGAAUACAUCGGAAUCUACUUUUUCGUGGGGGAUAACGUAGGGAAACUUACGCUAAUACCGCAUACGACCUACGGGUGAAAGCAGGGGAUCUUCGGACCUUGCGCGAUUGAAUGAGCCGAUGUCGGAUUAGCUAGUUGGCGGGGUAAAGGCCCACCAAGGCGACGAUCCGUAGCUGGUCUGAGAGGAUGAUCAGCCACACUGGAACUGAGACACGGUCCAGACUCCUACGGGAGGCAGCAGUAGGGAAUAUUGGACAAUGGGCGCAAGCCUGAUCCAGCCAUACCGCGUGGGUGAAGAAGGCCUUCGGGUUGUAAAGCCCUUUUGUUGGGAAAGAAAAGCAGCAGGUUAAUACCCCGCUGUUCUGACGGUACCCAAAGAAUAAGCACCGGCUAACUUCGUG